rnacentral:rRNA from 1 species
CGCCCAGACUCCUACGGGAGGCAGCAGUGGGGGAUAUUGCACAAUGGGGGGAACCCUGAUGCAGCGACGCCGCGUGGGUGAAGGAGCGUUUCGGCGCGUAAAGCCCUAUCGGCAGGGAAGAAGAUGACGGUACCUGACUAAGAAGCACCGGCUAAAUACGUGCCAGCAGCCGCGGUAAUACGUAUGGUGCAAGCGUUAUCCGGAUUUACUGGGUGUAAAGGGAGCGCAGGCGGUACGGCAAGUCUGAUGUGAAAGCCCGGGGCUCAACCCCGGUACUGCAUUGGAAACUACCGGACUGGAGUGUCGGAGGGGUAAGUGGAAUUCCUAGUGUAGCGGUGAAAUGCGUAGAUAUUAGGAGGAACACCAGUGGCGAAGGCGGCUUACUGGACGAUCACUGACGCUGAGGCUCGAAAGCGUGGGGAGCAAACAGGAUUAGAUACCCGUGUAC